rnacentral:sRNA from 1 species
CGCAGCCGCGGUAAUUCCAGCUCCAAUAGCGUAUAUUAAAGUUGUUGCAGUUAAAAAGCUCGUAGUUGAAUUUCGGGGUUCUACCGUUGGUCGGGCUAUAGUCUGUACUGGCGCGUGGAAUUUCUACCUUCUGGGGAACUAUCAUGUUAUUAAUUUAGCGUGGUAGGAAACCAGAACCUUUACCUUGAAAAAAUUAGAGUGUUCAAAGCAGGCUUACGUCCGAAUACAUUAGCAUGGAAUAAUAAAAUAGGACGGUGGUCCUGUUUUGUUGGUUUCUGAAUCACCGUAAUGAUUAAUAGGGAUAGUUGGGGGCAUUAGUAUUCAAUUGUCAGAGGUGAAAUUCUUGGAUUUAUUGAAGACUAACUUCUGCGAAAGCAUUUGCCAAGGAUGUUUUCAUUAAUCAAGAACGAAAGUUAGGGGAUCGAAGACGAUCAGAUACCGUCGUAGUCUUAAACCAUAAACUAU